rnacentral:tRNA from 1 species
CAAUAGCUCAGUAGGAUAGAGCAACUGCCUUCUAAGCAGUAGGUCAGGGGUUCGAAUCCCUUUUG